UAACGCGAAGAACCUUACCAGGUCUUGACAUCCUUUGAAGCUUUUAGAGAUAGAAGUGUUCUCUUCGGAGACAAAGUGACAGGUGGUGCAUGGUCGUCGUCAGCUCAUGUCGUGAGAUGUUGGGUUAAGUCCCGCAACGAGCGCAACCCUUAUUGUUAGUUGCCAGCAUUCAGUUGGGCACUCUAGCGAGACUGCCGGUGACAAACCGGAGGAAGGCGGGGACGACGUCAGAUCAUCAUGCCCCUUAUGACCUGGGCUACACACGUGCUACAAUGGCGUAUACAACGAGUUGCCAACCUGCGAGGGUGAGCUAAUCUCUUAAAGUACGUCUCAGUUCGGACUGCAGUCUGCAACUCGACUGCACGAAGUCGGAAUCGCUAGUAAUCGC
rnacentral:rRNA from 1 species